CGGGCGGAGUGUCGCGGCUGAGCGCCUUGUGGCCCAUGUGUCCCGGAUCGCGGCGGUGAGCGGCGCGUGGCGCAGCCACCUUCGUCCUGAGCGCCCGGCCCUCGGCGCCCCCCGGAGCCCUGGUUUCUGCAAAGACCCUGGCCCGCUCUGCUCUGAGCUGCUCGAACUGUGUGAGAAGAACCUGCUGAAAUCUGUUUUUUGAAUAAAAACUUUUUCCAAGUUUCCGUUUGGGGAUUUUUGCUUUGUUUUUCUGGGUGCAGUUUGCAGUACUCUCUACCUCCUUGUCUCCUUUUUCCUCCUGGCUUAUUAUCCGCGGGGCGGACCUGGGAUGAGCGUUUCGUAAUUUCAAGUAGAACUGUGAGAAGCCACGUCGGAAUAGUACUCAAGAUGGACAAAAAGUCCUUUGAAACGGUGCUGGAUGAGAUUCGGAAGGCUGUUUUGACAGAAUAUAAAUUAAAAGCAAUUGAAUAUGUUCAUGGGUACUUCUCCAGUGAACAGGUGGUUGACCUCCUAAGGUAUUUCUCCUGGGCAGAACCACAACUGAAGGCCAUGAAAGCCCUACAGCAUAAAAUGGUGGCUGUCCACCCAGCAGAAGUGGUCAGCAUCCUCAGCUGUUUUACAUUUAGUAAAGACAAGCUGGCUGCGCUGGAGCUCUUGGCCUCAAACAUUGUGGAUGCACAGAACUCCCGACCCAUUGAAGACUUAUUCAGGAUCAACAUGUCAGAGAAGAAACGGUGCAAGAGAGUCCUGGAGCAGGCUUUCAAAGCAGGCUGCAAAGCCCCUCAUGCCAUGAUAUCUUCAUGUGGAACCAUCCCGGGAAACCCCUAUCCCAAAGGAAAACCCAGCCGAAUCAAUGGGAUUUUCCCCGGAACUCCUCUUAAAAAGGACGGUGAAGAAAGUACCAAUGAAGGCAAAGGAAUAGCAGCACGAAUUCUUGGACCAUCCAAACCACCUCCCUCAACGUACAAUCCACACAAACCUGUCCCCUACCCGAUACCUCCAUGCCGGCCACAUGCAACUAUUGCACCAAGUGCUUAUAACAAUGCGGGUCUGGUACCAUUAGCCAAUGUGAUAGCUCCAGGUGUCCCUCCUCCGCCUCCAUACACUCCAAACCCAGUAGGAACAGACAAUGAAGACCUCUCCAGUCAGUCAAAACCUACACAGAGUCAAACGUUUUCCACCCCAGCAGGUCAACUCUUCUCCCCUCACGGUUCUAAUCCUUCAACUCCUGCUGUGACUCCUGUUCCUGCUGUGUCCCCAGUCAAGGCAGUAAACCAUCCAUCCGUGUCAGCAGCUGCCACUGGGGCCGGAAUGAGUGCUCCCAACACUGCCCUUUCAGUGUUCCCAACGCCUCAGCCAUCUACACCGAACCCGACUGUGAUCCGGACUCCCUCGGUGCCCGUGACACCUGUUACUUCAGCCCACAGCACCACACCUGCUCCUGUCCCUUCCAUUUUUUCUGGCCUAGUGCCACUGCCAGGUCCCUCUGCCACCCCCACCCCAUCCCCUCAGGCCAGCUCUACACCAAGGGUCACGCUGGCUUCCAGUGAGACAUUUGCUUCCACAUGUGCCCCGUUCACCAGCCAUUCUUCAGCCAGCUCUACCGCUGGGUCAGCCAGUAACCCAAGCACGGCUUCCCUGUCGUCGGUCUUUACAGGCCUGCCUCUGCCCUUCCCGCCAGCGUCCCAUAGCAUCACCACCCCGACUCCUUCUGUAAUUGCUAGUGCUGCGGGGCCACAUGGGGUAAACAGCCCUCUUCUGUCUGCCUUAAAAGGCUUUCUCACGUCUAACGACACACACUUAAUCAAUUCUUCUGCCUUGUCCUCUGCAGUCACAAGUGGGCUGGCUUCAUUAUCCUCUCUUCCCAAUCAAAACUCGGAUUCCUCUGCCUCAGCCACUAACAAGUGUUAUGUCCCUGCUGCUGUUGCUGCCUCACAGAGGUCUUCUACCCCAGGGAUGGCCAUGUUCCCAGGCCUGCAGUCCCCUGUGGCCAGCGCCACCUCCGCAGCCCCAGUGCUGCCUGUGCAGUCUCCGUUGGCUACCCCUUCCUCCACAGCAAUGCCAGUCAGCUGUGGCUCCUCAGGCUCGCUUUUGCAUGGUCCCCAUGUAGGCGGCAUUUCAUCUACCCCUGCUGCAGCAACUGUGCCCGUUAUGAUCAAAAGUGAGCCCACGAGCCCCCCUCCUUCGGCCUUCAAAGGCCCAGCUCAUCCCGGCACUCCUGCUCGUGGUACCUUGGGCCUGUCAGGUGCACUGGGCCGUGGAUACCCCACAACCUCAGUGCCCAUCAGUGUGUCCACUUGCCUUAACCCUGCACUGUCCGGGCUUUCCAGCCUGAGCAAUCCCCUGGCUGGUUCUAUGUCCCUUCCGCCACAUGCGUCCUCCACGCCCAUUGCUCCUGUGUUCACUGCCCUUCCCCCUUUCACUUCAUUGACCAACAGUUUCCCUCUUCCGGGCAGUCCCUCCCUCAAUCCUGCUGUGUCCCUCUCAGGGCCAUCAACCACCACAUCUGCAACUGGACACCCCAGCUCUGCACCCGUGCGCCCAGUGCUGCCCACCUCCAAUGCGUCGCCUGCAGCCUUCCCACUCAACCUGUCCACUGCUGUUCCCUCACUCUUCGCAGUCACCCAGGGCCCUCUGCCUGCCUCUAACCCUUCGUACCCCGGCUUCCCUGUCUCCAGUGCCCCAAGUGGUGCCCCCACACUGCCCUCGUUCCCUGGGCUGCAGGCGCCCUCCACAGUAGCAGUCACACCACUGCCGGUGGCUGCCUCAGCCCCAUCACCUGCACCUGUCCUCCCUGGGUUUGCCUCGGCCUUCAGUUCCAACUUCAACUCAGCCCUGGUGGCACAAGCAGGGUUGUCAUCUGGACUCCAAGCUGCGGGUAGCUCUGUUUUUCCAGGCCUUCUGUCCCUCCCGGGUAUCCCUGGGUUUUCCCAGACUCCUUCACAGUCGUCCCUGCAAGAGUUACAGCACAGCGCAGCUACGCAGUCGGCUUUAUUACAGCAGGUCCAUUCAGCAUCCACUUUGGAGAACUACCCAGCCCAGCCAGACGGGUUCCCUAGCUACCCUUCCACACCCGGAACACCAUUCUCUUUGCAACCAGGUCUAUCCCAAAGUGGAUGGCAAUGAAUUUUAAGCAUGUUUAUUCUUCUUGGGAACAACAUGAAAUUUGCCCAAGAACUGCAAUGAACAAUCUGACAGAUAUGAAAUUGUCCAAUUGUCUGAAAGCUCGUACUCUUAGGGACACUGAGACAGAGUUUAGAAGUUCAGGUUGCGGGUUUUUUGUUUUGUUUUGUUUUGUUUUUUGAGAUAGGGUUUCUCUGUAUUGCUUUGGAGAUUGUCCUAGAACUCGCUCUGUAGACUAAGCUGGCCUCGAAGAUCCGCCUGCCUCUGCCUCCCGAGUGCUGGGAUUAAAGGCGUGAUCCACCAACGCCUGGCUCAGGUUACGUUUUUAUAGUGGUUAUAAGUAUCUGUGCCCCUACUCCUAUAUAUGUAAAUGUACUGGCAAUGAAUUGUAUGGAGAAUAGUAUUUUAAAGUAUGUGGGGACUUUUCGCCUCCCAUCCUAGAGUUUUGGAUUAUGUGUGUGAUCUACAUAGAUUAUUAAAGAGGAAAAGGAACUCUUCAUAGCCAAAUGCAGCCUUAAAUCUGAUGGUAUAGCCUCUAUGGGCAGAAGUGAUACGCUUACCAGGUUGCAUGUGGCCCUGGGGGAGUUACUAUUCUGCAGAUGCAUGUGUGGCUCCGGUUAGCAUCAGCUGGAAUACAGUACUCCAGAUGUAUUCAAAGGGGAACUUGAGGCCCACUAUUUUUAAUUUGUUAUUAAUAACCCUACAUACUGCUGAGUUUAACUCAAUAUAUUCCGGGAAAGCAAAAAUGGUGCUGAUUGUAGCCUUUAGAAUGACAUUCAGGUGUUUUCAACUAAAAAAGUAUACCCAGAACUACCUUUCUACAGAUGUAUAAGUGAGGAAGGCUUAGGAUAAUUUUGCAAAACAUCCUUCAUGAUCUCAGCAGUAUGCCCACAAGUGAUUCCCCGGCCACCACUAUUACUCCUUGUACCCCGGAUGCUCUUGGCACAUGUUUCCAAUCAUGGGAUGUAUUUCUGCUCAAACAUUCGUCUGAAGUAAAUGUGCGGCAGCAAUAGAGAAGACUCGCUCUGUCAGUAUGUGCAGUAUGUGCUACAGACCUGUGGUGGCCAAGUGUGAUCCGCCGUCAUGCUCAACAGUGUCUGCAACAUUAGAUGUAGGGGAGUAGGGAGAAUGUAAACCAUAGACUCUACUGUAGUGCAGCUCAGCAUCUACAAGUUUACUUUUGUAAAGAUGGUGUCCUGCAAGAUGUUGCAAAUGUAUUUUCCUUUGACAUGGGGAACAAGCUUUUUAAGUAUAUUGAAUAAUCCUGUAUGGUUAGUUUUUAACAUUUUAAAAAAUAAACUAUGGAUAUGAUAAACAAUGUAGAAUUAUAUUACAUGCUAGGUAGAUAGGGUAUUUAAUUUUUCUAAUUUCUAGAGCUAAUAUAUUGAAUUUUUUUUCUGAAUUUAGUUGAAAUUCUGUUUAGAGCACUGAUUGCUCAGUUCCUUCAUAAACUUAUGGAAAAGUCACAUGAUGGCCAACACUUAGAACAGACAAGUCUGUUCAAGCACAGACCAAUACCAAUUGCUGGAAGUUGACAUUAUCCUUUUCAAGUCCACAUUCAAUAUUAUAUCAGUCGUAUAUGUGUUGGUUGUUCAGAAAAUGGUUUCUGAUUUAGUAAUCUCUAUUCAUUGUGAUUCUCCUGUGAGGUAUUCAUCUAUCCUCUGGGCCUCCUGAGCAGAAAGGUCUCCAGUUUAUCUUUUCAGCGUGCCCAUAUUGUGCUGAGUCCAUUGGGCAUACAAAGGUUUAUGUAAAAGUUUAGAUGACAUAUUCUGGAAUACUUGUAGUAAUCACUGGGGGCUGAUUUUGUUUGUGUUUCACAAGCUUCUGAAGUAAUAGCUAGUCAAUCUGCUCAGCUGCUGAGGAACCAAGAUAGGAGGUACAGAAUGGCCGAGGAGAAUUCCAGUGUUUACUUACCUGCUGCUAACCCGUACUACCUUUGAGGGUCCAGGAAGACUGUUAAAAGUUGCUAAAGUCUUAAAAAAUGACUAAGAACAUUCUAGAAAAGGCUAAAACCUUGGGGAAAUUGCCUGCUAGUAGUAUAGUUGAGUAUAGUGAAUAGUUGGAACAAAGCUAAGAAGCAAGAGCGACAUGAUUAGGGAAGUGAAACUUUUAAUCUUCAAUACAUGAACUGUACUUUAAGUUCAUAUAAAAUACAGUUGGUGUCAGUGUAAGUAUUACAACUCAAAGGGAAAGUUAUCCUGGCAGUCGGGAGUCAAGAAAUACCACAAAGUCACACUGCACAACAAACCUCACACGAGAUUUAUUGGGAGGGAAAUAACCAAGAGGGUGGCUGCCUCUGCUCUGGCGAGGAGCUGAACAGAAGGCAGGGUUUAUAUAGAGUUUCUUGGAGAGGGGGUGUAGAAUUUUUCAGGCUGAAAUUUUCCAGGGUAGGGAUUUGUGGGAUUUCAAAUGCACAGCUUGGGCUUUUUACUCUGUAAGGCAGAGUAGGGUCCAGCCAUUAGGACAGUGUUGUGUGGUGAAAUCUGGCACUUGGAAAUCCUUAGAGAAGGAGCCUGGUCACUCAUGUGGAUCAAGGAGCUUACUUUACCUCCUUUUUGUUUAUUAUUGAUAAACAAUCAGGUUAAAGGAAAGGGAGUGAUGUUAUCAUACUUGCUGUUGAAUUGGGGCACAAAAGUCCUUUGGGCAAUCAUGGGAGAGCUUGUAGGUUCAAGAUACCUUUAUUCAGGUAAAUACCAGUCAAACGCAAGCCAGAGGGUGCCAGGGGCAGCCGAGCAGUGAGGCCAGGGAGAAGGGGAAGGAGAAGGGGCUUCCAUGCGCUCUGCUGUCCCUUAAGAGCCCAUGCUGCGUCAUGCUGACCUCACCUAAGGUGUGGUCAGGCACACCUGUAGCCAGCCUCUAACAGGUGUGGCUUACUGUCCUCUACAGGGCAAUAUAGAUCUUCACUGUCGGAGUAUAAUCAGGAGUGGCUGGCCUCUGGCUCUGUACCUAGGGGCCAGUAAUCCUGUAAUCUGUUGCUGAGGAAAUCUAGACAAGAAGUUUAUAAGGCAGGGUAAGACUAGUAGGGUUAAGAAAAGCAGGAGAAAGGGGAUUAAGAAGGGCAGAAUCCAAUUCCAUAUUGGACUGUCAGUGAGCCACUGGCUAGAGGCAUCGAGCUGUUUCUUACAUUUUUGGUUUUUCAUCUGCAGUUGUCAGAUCUUGUCUUUUACUAUACCUGACUGGUUGACAUAGAAGCAACAUUCCUCCCUGAGAAAUAGACAAAGACCACCUCUCUCUGCUGUUAGCAAAUCUAAUACUCACUGAUUUUAGAGCACUGCAGUAGCCAGUGAGUCUGUUUGACCCAGGAAGGUAAGGCUGGCCUGAGCCACCCCUUGGAGAUCCUGAAUGAACUGAGAGGAAAACCCAUGGUAAAUAGCUAGGGAAGUAGUCAGUCCUGUUGCUCCAAUAUUAACACCAGUGCUCAUACUCAGAACUGUUGGAGAGUGUAUGAUGUGAGCCAUUCCUUUGUCGUGCAUGACUAUAAACCUUCUGAUGAGAAUUGGCAAGGGUGUUUCACUGGGUACUACUGUUAGUUUUGGGAAAGGGUACACCAGGGCACAAUCCCAGACCAUACAGCAAAUAGGCAGCAGUAAACUUGAGUGCUGCAGAGAAUCAAGACAUUGUGAAUGUUUGGUCAUAGAGGCUGCAUGGUAGUACUAAGGGUUAAGGUAUUAUUGAAGUCUACAGAAUCCAGUGUGCCCACAAUGAGUGUUCCUGAGAAGUUCAAGUAGUCUGUGAUAUCAGAGAGAGAGAGAGAGGAGAGAUAAGGGGUGGUAGUGAUAUUUGGCUUAGAGCAAUUAACAAGAGGCAAGGUAAGAGUCUAAGAAGACAAUGGGGAAGCUGGGUGGUGGUGGUACACACUUUUAAUCUCAGCACUUGGGAGGCAGAGGCUGGUGAAUGUCAGUGAGUUCCAGGCCAGCCUGGUCUACAAAGCAAGUUCCAGGACAGCCAAAGCUGUUAUACAGAGAAACCCUGUCUCAAAAAACAAAUAAACACAAAAAGACAAUGAGUGAGGCCACAAAUGAGUUUGACCCAAGAGGAAUGCACAACCACCAUUCUCCAAAGAGGCCAAGAAAAGUUAUUCAAUAGCUGAUAUGCAGAGGUUUGUUAUUGAGUAGUCUUUUUGUACACUGUGAAUAUAUGUUGCUCUCAUUGGUUUAAUAAAGAGCUAAUGGCCAAUAGCUAGGCAGGACGUGGUUAGAUGGGACUUGUGGACAGGGAAAAAGAGAGUGUAGGGAUGAAAAAGGGCAGAGUUGUGAGGAGACAUGGAGAGAAGCAAGAUGAAUAUGCCAUACUGAAAAAAGGCUCCUCCAUGUGAUAGAGCAUAGAUGAGAAAUAUGGGUUAAUUUAAUAUGUAAGAGUUAGUUAAUAACAAGCCUAAGCUAUCGGCCAAGCAUUUACAAUUAA